GGGUCAGUAGGUUGGUCGUGCCACCGGUACGUACUGGUCUCACUGACUCCUCCUUCCUGAAGAACCGUAAUGCCAUUAAUUUGGUGUUGCGGGGAAACAGGACUGUUACUUUGAAAAAUUAGAGUGUUUAAAGCAAGCUAACGCUUGAAUACAUUAGCAUGGAGCAAUGAAAUAGGACGAUCGAUCCUAUUUUGUUGGUUUCUAGGAUUGACGUA
rnacentral:rRNA from 1 species